UACAGAGGUGGCAAGCGUUGUUCGGAAUUACUGGGCGUAAAGGGCGCGUAGGCGGCCUUCUAAGUCAGACGUGAAAUCCCCCGGCUUAACCUGGGAACUGCGUCUGAUACUGGGAGGCUUGAGUAUGGGAGAGGGAUGUAGAAUUCCAGGUGUAGCGGUGAAAUGCGUAGAUAUCGUCAAGAACACCUAUAGCGAAGGCAGCUUACUAGGCUGUAACUGACGCUGAGGCACGAAAGUGUGGGGAUCAAACAGG
rnacentral:rRNA from 1 species